GAAAUGCGAUAAGUAAUGUGAAUUGCAGAAUUCCGUGAAUCAUCGAAUCUUUGAACGCACAUUGCGCCCUCUGGUAUUCCGGGGGCAUGCCUGUCCGAGCGUCCUUGCGAACCCCUCAAGCACGGCUUGUGUGAUGGGCCCUCCCGCGUCUUGGUCGUCAAGACGGGCCCGAAAUGCAGUGGCGGCUUCGCGGUUAUCCGAUCAGCCAGAGUGUAUGGGGACUCUCUCUCUUGUCACACGCCCGCGGCGCGGACCGACGCCUGUCGACCUUUAUUCAUCUUCUCUCGGUUGACCUCGGAUCAGGUAGGGAUACCCGCUGAACUUAAGC
rnacentral:misc_RNA from 1 species